GACGAACGCUGGCGGCGUGCUUAACACAUGCAAGUCGAACGGAAAGGCCCAGCUUGCUGGGUGCUCGAGUGGCGAACGGGUGAGUAACACGUGGGUGAUCUGCCCCUAACUUCGGGAUAAGCUUGGGAAACUGGGUCUAAUACCGGAUAGGACAAUCGUUUAGUGUCGGUUGUGGAAAGUUUUUUCGGUUAGGGAUGAGCCCGCGGCCUAUCAGCUUGUUGGUGGGGUAAUGGCCUACCAAGGCGUCGACGGGUAGCCGGCCUGAGAGGGUGGACGGCCACAUUGGGACUGAGGUACGGCCCAGACUCCUACGGGAGGCAGCAGUGGGGAAUAUUGCACAAUGGGCGCAAGCCUGAUGCAGCGACGCCGCGUGGGGGAUGACGGCCUUCGGGUUGUAAACCUCUUUCGACAGGGACGAAGCUUUGGUGACGGUACCUGUAUAAGAAGCACCGGCUAACUACGUGCCAGCCGCCGCCGUAA
rnacentral:rRNA from 1 species